UGGGGAAUUUUGCACAAUGGGGGAAACCCUGAUGCAGCGACGCCGCGUGAUUUAGAAGGCCUUCGGGUUGUAAAAAUCUUUUCUAUGGGAAGAAAAUGACAGUACCAUAGGAAUAAGGACCGGCUAAUUACGUGCCAGCAGCCGCGGUAAUACGUAAGGUCCGAGCGUUGUCCGGAAUCAUUGGGCGUAAAGGGUACGUAGGCGGGUAAGCAAGUUAAAAGUGAAAUCCUAUAGCUCAACUAUAGUAAGCUUUUAAAACUGCUCAUCUUGAGGUAUGGAAGGGAAAGUGGAAUUCCUAGUGUAGCGGUGAAAUGCGCAGAUAUUAGGAGGAAUACCGGUGGCGAAGGCGACUUUCUGGCCAUAACCUGACGCUGAGGUACGAAAGCGUGGGUAGCAAACAGG
rnacentral:rRNA from 1 species